AUGGCCAGAGCUUUCACGUGCUGUGCAGGUGAAGUAUUCAGAUCCCUGAGGAGAGUCCUAGAAAGAUGGGGGAGGAGGAGAUGUGACGCAUAUUUUGACUUCUCUUUCCAUCCUUAGAAUCUUCCACAGAAUGAAAAAGAAAAAUGAGAAACAAGUCUACCUUUUAAAAGCUUCCGCAUAUGGGAGGAAAGCAUGUGACCCUUGACCUUCUGAGUCCCACUUACUUCACCUAAGGAUCUGUGAUCACGUCUGCAUGGAUGUCUCUCAACCCUCCAUCCUGCCCACCUCCACGACAACCUCAAUCCUACUGCCUAGGGACAAUUCCAUUCUAUUGUCCCACAGAAGUCAGCCCCAAAGCUCAGUGCUCCAAAAUGAUCUCAUCCCUCUUUCACCUCCUGGGCUUGAAGCCUGGGAAUGAUUUCAACUCUAUAUUCCCUUGGCUUAGGCACCCAGCCAAUCAGGGGCACCCCCCCUGGAUCUGGCAGGAGGUGGCCGUGGGCAUCAGUCUGACAGAUCAAGCAGAGCAAGCCUACCAGGAGCAGGCUGCUGUUGGCACAGAAGUCCACAAACCUCAGAACCGGCCUGUGUCGUAGGCCCCCAAAGGGUAUGGGGAAACAAGAUCAAGGCUGCACGAGAUUCCUGGGCCCCAGUGGGUCUCAGGCACGAGAGAGCAGGGUAGGAAGCUGAGGGCCAGAGCAGGCCCAGGAGCUGGGCUGGUGGGCGCUUGAAGAACAGCGUGUGAGCCUCUGAUUGGCUUCUUGGGAUAAAGCUUGAUUUCUGAAGCUAGGUGUGGUUACAAGUGCAUGCCUGUAAUCCCAGCAAUUUGGGAGACUGCUGCAGGAGGAUCACAAGGUCAAGGCCAGCCUUAGCAACAGCAUAAAACCUUUGAGCAACUCAGUGAGACCCCUUACCAAAAUAACAAAUGAAAUGGGCUAGGAUGUAGAUCCAGGAUAAAGUACCCCUGGGUUCAAUUCUCAGUACCAAAAACAAAACAAGAAAGCCAACUUGCUGAGGGUGGGGUAGCUGUCCGUGAGGAGGCCAGGCCUGUGUCUUCACCUGCCUACCAGGUAUCAGACCUCUCCAUUCCCCCGGAGCCUCUGGGGAGAGCCGUUGGCAGUCCCGCCCCCAGCCAGGUGGUGCACUUGACAUUUUUUUCCACGUUGGAUUUUGUUUAUUUUCAAACUCCUUUGACCCCAUGGUGAUCCUGAGAAAUGGUCAGAGCCCUGUUUGAGAAAACUGGACCAAGAGAGGUUAAACUGACCACCUGGUCACCCACACAUUACUCAAAUGGUCCAUCUGCGUCCCCAAGAGAUGGUUAGAAACCCAGAUCUCCAGCCCAUCCCUGGCCCUGGAACCAGAGUUUACAUCUCAGCGAGGGCUGGAAGAGCGGUGGGCAUGUCGCGGCUGGCCUGGGUAGGAGUCUGUGUUGUGGACCGACAGGGCUGCACCCGCUUUGGUCAGCAGGUCUAACAUGAACAUCAUGGUCACCUGUAGCUAUGAGUGGAGCUGUUGGUGGGGAGUGGAGCUGAGAGAGCUGGGACCAGGCCGGAGAAUGGGAAAGGGAACUAGGUUAAGGGGCAACUGUGAAGCUGCGCCCCGUGGCCACUGCUGUGACUCCCGGCAUUGGGUGCCCUAGAGCUGAUGACAUGGGUGGGGGACACAAUCAGGGAGGUGCUGGACCAGUCCAGGUCCAGGUGGGGCGGGACUCACCCCAGGGCUGACCUUGAGAGUGUCGAGAUGGAGGGCCAGGCUGCUGCCCUGGCCAGUUCCCACCUGGCCUGAGCCCCAGCUUGGCCCCCUCCCUGCCGCCUGGGUUUCUGUGGUUACUGGUUACAUGGCCUUAGGAACUAACCCAGGCUCCUCAAGCCCCCUCGCUGGUCAGCAUUCGUUCCUGCUGAGCUGCAAGCUGGAUGGAACCGUGAGCAGUCCCAUAGCUCUCCACCACAUGGAUUUCCACGUUCUAGAAGGAGAGGCAGCUAAUUCACAACCAAGAAAUGUGUGGUAUUUCAUUUUAUUUAUUUUAACUGACAUGCAAUGGUUAUACACACUUAUGGGGUACAGUGUGUUUCCACACGUCUGCAGUAUGUAAUGAGCAGAUUGGGUCAUGGUAUUUUCGUCUCCUUUGUUCUUGCUAUUUAAAAAUAUAUAAUAAAUCAUUGUUAACUACAGUCA